UACGAAGGGGGCUAGCGUUGCUCGGAAUCACUGGGCGUAAAGCGCGUGUAGGCGGUCCGGUAAGUCCGCUGUGAAAGUCGGGGGCUUAACCCUCGGAUGCCGGUGGAUACUGUCGGGCUUGAGUACGGAAGAGGCGAGUGGAAUUCCUGGUGUAGCGGUGAAAUGCGCAGAUAUCAGGAGGAACACCAAUUGCGAAGGCAGCUCGCUGGGACGUUACUGACGCUGAGACGCGAAAGCGUGGGGAGCAAACAGG
rnacentral:rRNA from 1 species